UGGGGAAUUUUGGACAAUGGGGGAAACCCUGAUCCAGCCAUCCCGCGUGUGCGAUGAAGGCCUUCGGGUUGUAAAGCACUUUUGGCAGGAAAGAAACGUCAUGGGUUAAUACCCCGUGAAACUGACGGUACCUGCAGAAUAAGCACCGGCUAACUACGUGCCAGCAGCCGCGGUAAUACGUAGGGUGCAAGCGUUAAUCGGAAUUACUGGGCGUAAAGCGUGCGCAGGCGGUUCGGAAAGAAAGAUGUGAAAUCCCAGAGCUCAACUUUGGAACUGCAUUUUUAACUACCGGGCUAGAGUGUGUCAGAGGGAGGUGGAAGUCCGCGUGUAGCAGUGAAAUGCGUGGAUAUGCGGAGGAACACCGAUGGCGAAGGCAGCCUCCUGGGAUAACACUGACGCUCAUGCACGAAAGCGUGGGGAGCAAACAGG
rnacentral:rRNA from 1 species